rnacentral:lncRNA from 1 species
UCUCACACAGUUACAUGCUUUAAUUUGUUGAGUUGAGCAUCCCUGUUAAUCAAACCUUGAAUAAUUUGCAUCGAAACAACAAGAGAAGAACGAUAAAAUAAAACCUCAAGAUCUUGUAAAGUUAGGAGGGAAGAACAAUCACCAAUCUCGAGGUCAAUCAAUCUUGUUGUGGGAGCUAGGUGGUGGUGUCCUGGUUAAACAGCCGACAGCGCCAUGCAUGAUCCAUUUCUUUUUCCAUGCUUCUCUGUUUGAAGAGAAAAACCAAGAAAUGCUGUUGAUCUGUCCACGUGCCAAGAUCAAUAAAGGGAGGUCAUUAAUGGCGGGGAUGGUAAGGAAGAAGAAAAUCACAGAGCAAUAAAAGGUGGGGGUACGCAUGGGCUUUGCUGCAGGGCAUCAGUUUGGUCUGGUCAUUGAUAGAUAUCAUGAGAUCAGAUUGUGUGAUUUAGUUGUGAUUGUGUUGGAAUCUAGAGCCAGCCAGCCAGCCAUGUCGUGUCACCAGCAAUCUUGGGAGGCAGCUAGCUAGGCUGCUGCCUGCUUUGCUUUUUUAGUUCAACAGUGC